GGCCUUAAGAACUGCAUUAUAGGUGUCCA
rnacentral:piRNA from 1 species